rnacentral:rRNA from 1 species
GAUAAAACGCUGGCGGCGUGCUUAACACAUGCAAGUCGAACGGGAAACAUCUUAUUGAAGCUUCGGCAGAUUUAGUUUGUUUCUAGUGGCGGACGGGUGAGUAAACGCGUGGGUAACCUGCCUCACACUGGGGGAUAACAGUCAGAAAUGACUGCUAAUACCGCAUAAGCGCACGGAACCGCAUGGUUUUGUGUAGAAAAACUCCGGUGGUGUGAGAUGGACCCGCGUUGG